GACGAACGCUGGCGGCGUGCUUAACACAUGCAAGUCGAGCGGAAAGGCCCUUCGGGGUACUCGAGCGGCGAACGGGUGAGUAACACGUGAGUAAUCUGCCCUUGGCUUUGGGAUAACUACCGGAAACGGUGGCUAAUACCGGAUACGACAACCGUCUGCAUGGGCUGGUUGUGGAAAGUUUUUUCGGCCAGGGAUGUGCUCGCGGCCUAUCAGCUUGUUGGUGGGGUAAUGGCCUACCAAGGCUUCGACGGGUAGCCGGCCUGAGAGGGUGACCGGCCACACUGGGACUGAGACACGGCGCAGACUCCUACGGGAGGCAGCAGUGGGGAAUAUUGGACAAUGGGCGGAAGCCUGAUCCAGCAACGCCGCGUGAGGGAUGACGGCCUUCGGGUUGUAAACCUCUUUCAGUACCGACGAAGCGCCGAUGAUGGUGGUGACGGUAGGUACAGAAGAAGCACCGGCCAACUACGUG
rnacentral:rRNA from 1 species